rnacentral:rRNA from 1 species
UACGUAGGGUACGAGCGUUGUCCGGAAUUAUUGGGCGUAAAGGGCUCGUAGGCGGUUUGUCGCGUCGGGAGUGAAAACCCAGGGCUUAACCCUGGGCUGGCUUCCGAUACGGGCAGACUAGAGGUAUGCAGGGGAGAACGGAAUUCCUGGUGUAGCGGUGAAAUGCGCAGAUAUCAGGAGGAACACCGGUGGCGAAGGCGGUUCUCUGGGCAUUACCUGACGCUGAGGAGCGAAAGUGUGGGGAGCGAACAGG